GAGCUGCAGCUGAACCUCGCUGGCGACGGGGCUCCGCGGAGAGAGGGAGAGAAAGAAAAGAGCGAAGGAGAGCCAGCUGUGAGUGCGUUUCCCGUUCCUGGCUCCUCCUAGGAGGCCUCGGCCUCAGUUCUGCAUAUUUUACUCCCGCGCUGGGAAACCCUAAACGACUCCAGCAGCCCGGCGCGCAGGGCUGUAACCUUCCCCCGUUCUCACGGAGACGCAGAGGCGAGGCCGUCCAGGAUCUCCAGGAGUGCCCGGUUUCCCUAACCUCCACCCCAGGUCCCAGGCAGGACCCCAGGCUGCGCUGGCAGGCAGACCCCGCCUCGGGCUGCUCUUUCCUGCGCUGUCGACCGCGAGGGCGUCUACCAGCUGCACGUCCAGGUGACCCUGGCCAGGUGCUGCUCCCAAGGGACACCAGGCACCGCAAUGCCACCCUGGCCGUGGGGCUCUGAACCCCGCCCCCCACAGAGUCAGCCUGCUGCGCCUGGGCUUGUCCAGGCCUGCACUGUGGCCUCUCAGCGCCUGACGCCCUCUGCGCCAACCUCAGCCCCCAGCGCCUGCCCUCCCCCAACACCGACAAGAACUUCUUGGGCAUCCACUCCUGACCACCCCCGGCUCGGCUGCUCUGCUUCUGUUUUCUGUAAAUGAAUGUGUUUUUCAAUUUCACCUUGACUUGCAUAUUUGAUGGGUGAGUCAAUGCCGGCACAGCUGGCUUAGAUGGGCAGGAGACGCCUCAGUGUUCCCAGGGCACCAAAAACAAACGCAGCCUGGUGUGGUAGCCUACUUCUCUUGCCAGCAACUCAGGAGGCUGAGGCAGGAGGAUCGUAAAUCCAGGGCAGGCCUGGGCAACGAAUGACUUAGGGAGACACUGUCUCCAAAAAUCAAAAUGGGUCGGGGGUAGAGUUCAGUGAUAGAGCGCCCCUGGGCUUGGUGCCAGUAAAAAAUAAAAAUUAUAAACCCACGCAAAGAACCUAAAGCAAAAUGAUGCGUAAAUAUGGUGUAAAAUCACAGGAAAAAAGAACAUUAAACAAGUAAAGGAUAUAAAUACGGAGAAGUGAUGACACAGGCCUCUUGACCCUGCAUUCUGGGAGGCUGAGACAGGAGAGGCCCAAGUUUGAGCCCAGCCUGGGCAACUUAGCAACUUAGCAAGACCCUGUCUCAAAAUAAAAAAUAAAAAAGGCCUGGGUUCAAUUUCGGGUAAAGAGACAGAGAGGGAG
rnacentral:lncRNA from 1 species